rnacentral:rRNA from 1 species
UACGUAGGGGGCAAGCGUUGUCCGGAUUCAUUGGGCGUAAAGAGCUCGUAGGCGGUUCGGUAAGUCGGGUGUGAAAUCUCCGUGCUCAACACGGAGCGGCCACCUGAUACUGCCGUGACUCGAGUCCGGUAGGGGAGUGUGGAAUUCCUGGUGUAGAGGUGAAAUUCGUAGAUAUUGGGAAGAACACCGGUGGCGAAGGCGGCGACCUGGUCCUUGACUGACGCUGAGGCGCGAAAGCGUGGGGAGCAAACAGG